rnacentral:SRP_RNA from 1 species
GCACAGUGGCACGAGCCUGUAAUCCAGCUACUCCAGAGGCUGAGGCUGGCGGAUCACUUGAGCUCAGGAUUUCUGGGCUGCAGCAGGCUAGGCUGAUUGGGUGUCCGUACUAAGUUCAGCAUCAAUAUGGUGAUCCCAGGGGAGCCAAGGGCCACCAGGUUGCCUAAGAAGGGGUGAAUCAGCCUAGGUCGGAGAUGGAGCAGGUCAAAACUGCCGAUCUGUAGUGGGAUAGCGCCUGUGAAUAGCGGUUGCAGCGUAGCUUGAGCAAAACAGCGAAACCCAGACUCUU